rnacentral:rRNA from 1 species
ACGCUGGCGGCAUGCUUUACACAUGCAAGUCGGACGGCAGCACAGAGAAGCUUGCUUCUUGGGUGGCGAGUGGCGAACGGGUGAGUAAUAUAUCGGAACGUACCGAGUAAUGGGGGAUAACUAAUCGAAAGAUUAGCUAAUACCGCAUAUUCUCUGAGGAGGAAAGCAGGGGACCUUCGGGCCUUGCGUUAUUCGAGCGGCCGAUAUCUGAUUAGCUAGUUGGUGGGGUAAAGGCCUACCAAGGCGACGAUCAGUAGCGGGUCUGAGAGGAUGAUCCGCCACACUGGGACUGAGACACGGCCCAGACUCCUACGGGAGGCAGCAGUGGGGAAUUUUGGACAAUGGGCGCAAGCCUGAUCCAGCCAUGCCGCGUGUCUGAAGAAGGCCUUCGGGUUGUAAAGGACUUUUGUCAGGGAAGAAAAGGCUGUUGCUAAUACCGACAGCUGAUGACGGUACCUGAAGAAUAAGCACCGGCUAACUACGUGCCAGCAGCCGCGGUAAUACGUAGGGUGCGAGCGUUAAUCGGAAUUACUGGGCGUAAAGCGAGCGCAGACGGUUACUUAAGCAGGAUGUGAAAUCCCCGGGCUCAACCUGGGAACUGCGUUCUGAACUGGGUGACUAGAGUGUGUCAGAGGGAGGUAGAAUUCCACGUGUAGCAGUGAAAUGCGUAGAGAUGUGGAGGAAUACCGAUGGCGAAGGCAGCCUCCUGGGAUAACACUGACGUUCAUGCUCGAAAGCGUGGGUAGCAAACAGGAUUAGAUACCCUGGUAGUCCACGCCCUAAACGAUGUCAAUUAGCUGUUGGGCAACUUGAUUGCUUAGUAGCGUAGCUAACGCGUGAAAUUGACCGCCUGGGGAGUACGGUCGCAAGAUUAAAACUCAAAGGAAUUGACGGGGACCCGCACAAGCGGUGGAUGAUGUGGAU